rnacentral:rRNA from 1 species
AGUGAUAGUACCGCAGAGGAAGGGACGGCUAACUCUGUGCCAGCAGCCGCGGUAAUACAGAGGUCCCAAGCGUUGUUCGGAUUCAUUGGGCGUAAAGGGUGCGUAGGUGGCGAUGUAAGUCUGGUGUGAAAUCUCGGGGCUCAACCUCGAAAUUGCAUUGGAUACUGCGUUGCUUGAGGAUUGUAGAGGAGAGUGGAAUUCACGGUGUAGCAGUGAAAUGCGUAGAUAUCGUGAGGAAGACCAGUUGCGAAGGCGACUCUCUGGGCAAUUCCUGACACUGAGGCACGAAGGCCAGGGGAGCAAACGGGAUUAGAUACCCCGGUAGUCCUGGCAGUAAACGGUGCACGUUUGGUGUGGGCGGGUUCAGACCCCGUCCGUGCCGGAGCUAACGCGUUAAACGUGCCGCCUGGGAAGUACGGUCGCAAGAUUAAAACUCAAAGAAAUUGACGGGGGCCCGCACAAGCGGUGGAGUAUGUGGCUUAAUUCGAUGCAACGCGAAGAACCUUACCUGGCCUUGACAUGCACCUCUAAGUUAAUGAAAGUUAGCGACUUGGUAGCAAUAUCAAGAAUUUGCACAGGUGCUGCAUGGCUGUCGUCAGCUCGUGUCGUGAGAUGUUGGGUUAAGUCCCGCAACGAGCGCAACCCCUGUGUCCAGUUGCCCGCAAGGGAUCUCUGGACAGACUGCCCUGUGAAACGGGGAGGAAGGUGGGGAUGACGUCAAGUCAGUAUGGCCCUUACGGCCAGGGCUGCACACGUACUACAAUGCUCAGAACAGAAUGAACCGAAACCGCGAGGUGGAGGAAAUCGAUAAAUCUGGGCUCAGUUCGGAUCGGAGGCUGCAAUUCGCCUCCGUGAAGCCGGAAUCGCUAGUAAUGGCGCAUCAGCUACGGCGCCGUGAAUACGUUCCCGGGCCUUGUACACACCGCCCGUCACAUCAUGGGAGUCGUUUGUAGCCGAAGUACGCACGCUAACCGCAAGGAGGCAGCUCCUACGCUAUGAGUGGUAACUGGGAUGAAGUCGUAACAAGGUAGCCGU